rnacentral:rRNA from 1 species
CCUACGGGAGGCAGCAGUGGGGAAUAUUGCACAAUGGGGGAAACCCUGAUGCAGCGACGCCGCGUGAGCGAGGAAGUAUUUCGGUAUGUAAAGCUCUAUCAGCAGGGACGAAAAAAGACGGUACCUGACUAAGAAGCCCCGGCUAACUACGUGCCAGCAGCCGCGGUAAUACGUAGGGGGCAAGCGUUAUCCGGAUUUACUGGGUGUAAAGGGAGCGUAGACGGCAAGGCAAGCCAGAAGUGAAAGGGCAGAGCUCAACCCUGUACAUGCUUUUGGAACUGUGGUGCUAGAGUGCAGGAGAGGUAAGUGGAAUUCCUAGUGUAGCGGUGAAAUGCGUAGAUAUUAGGAGGAACACCAGUGGCGAAGGCGGCUUACUGGACUGUAACUGACGUUGAGGCUCGAAAGCGUGGGGAGCAAACAGGAUUAGAUACCCUUGUAGUC